ACGUGAAGUGUUGGGUGGAGAGGAGGUAGUUUGUGUUUCUCAUUCUCUUCUAUCAAAUAACAACUAUACAAUGGCCUUUGUAUGCAGUACUGGUAAAUUUUUUCAGUGAUAGAAAACAAGCUUUAGAUUGGGAAGAUUGUGUUAGUGACUGAUUCUUAUUGAUAAGUCAGAUGUUUACAGUGUAUACAGUGCUUUUGGAUGUCUUGGAGGUAGAGGAGUGGGUACUGUCCUUAAGUUAUGCCAGGGUAUUUUCAGGUUGGAUAUUAGGAAAUGGUCGGAUAUCAGAACAGUGAUGCACUGGCCUAUGCUGUCCAGGGAGGUGGUGGUGGUGAAGUCACCAUCCCUGGAGGUGAUCCAGAACUGUGGGGAUGUGGCACUGAGGGCUGUGGUCAGUGGGCAUGGAGGGGUGGGUUGGGCUUCAACUGGGUGAUCUUAGAGGUCUCUUCCAACCUCAAUGAUUCUAUGGUUCUGUGAUACCAUCAGAACAAACACCAAGUCUUUGCUCUCUCUGUAUCUCUGUGCCUGCCCAGUUUUUUAGGGAAAAUAUAGUCACUGUAGUAGUGCAGUGUUACUUUUAUGCUUCAGGUGCCACUGACAUAGAGUCACCCAUGCAAGGGUUUGAAGUUUUCUGCUGCAGUGGC
ensembl:lncRNA